rnacentral:rRNA from 1 species
AUUGAACGCUGGCGGCAUGCCUUACACAUGCAAGUCGAACGGCAGCGGACCUUCGGGUGCCGGCGAGUGGCGAACGGGUGAGUAAUAUAUCGGAACGUACCUUUCAGUGGGGGAUAACGUAGCGAAAGUUACGCUAAUACCGCAUAUUCUGUGAGCAGGAAAGCAGGGGAUCGCAAGACCUUGCGCUGAUUGAGCGGCCGAUAUCAGAUUAGCUAGUUGGUGAGGUAAAGGCUCACCAAGGCGACGAUCUGUAGCGGGUCUGAGAGGAUGAUCCGCCACACUGGAACUGAGACACGGUCCAGACUCCUACGGGAGCAGCAGUGGGGAAUUUUGGACAAUGGGCGCAAGCCUGAUCCAGCCAUGCCGCGUGAGUGAAGAGGCCU